UACGAAGGGGGCAAGCGUUGUUCGGAAUGACUGGGCGUAAAGGGCGCGUAGGCGGCCUUCUAAGUCGAACGUGAAAUCCCUGGGCUCAACCCAGGAACUGCGUCCGAUACUGGAAGGCUUGAAUCCGGGAGAGGGAUGCGGAAUUCCAGGUGUAGCGGUGAAAUGCGUAGAUAUCUGGAGGAACACCGGUGGCGAAGGCGGCAUCCUGGACCGGUAUUGACACUGAGACACGAAAGCGUGGGGAGCAAACAGG
rnacentral:rRNA from 1 species